AGACAGCUCUCUAGGUGAGUCUCCAUGGUAGAGUACUUGUAUGGUUUCAACACUAUUUUGGGGCCAUUUUCUAAAGAAGGCUAUACGCAUUUAUUCUUCAUACGCAGAUGCUUUCAUAGCUGUUAUUAAAGUUUGUACAUGACAUUGUAUGUUUUGACACUGGCUUAACCCUUUCCCCGCUUUAGCCGACUAUAGUCAGCAUGGCUACUGAUAAAUUUCAAAAAAUCAUUGUGCACACUGUGUUGGAGCUAUGCACACGCUGCAAGUACCAGCACAUGCGCAUUGAGCUGCUCUUCCACGUGGUAUUUUUAAUAUUUUGCUUAGAGGUACGGUUCGAUCAGAAUUGUCGAAAGAAAAGUGACCGUUUUAUAAUUGCUACAGGAUCUUCGUAGUACAACCUCAGGGAGGUUCUAGGGAAGCUAGAGAGUGAGAAUAUCGAUGCUUAUGGCCUUGUAGAGUGAGAGGACAGUGACUGAGAUCAUAGCUAGGUAGGAAGCUUCCUUUCAGAGGUCAAACUAAAAAGAAAGAGCCUGAGAAUCCUGAGGAAGACGCACUUGAGGUGGACCAUCUUCCUGAACCUGGUGAAGAAAAUAUUUCCCGGGAAAAGGGCGUCUGCCGAUAGAACCUCAAAUACAAGUUUCUGCAGAUCAUGAUUGAGUCCUGAGUGAGCCAUGUCACCAUGAGAACAUUCUGAACACUUAUAUCAUGUGUUCAGUCACUUCGUAACAUCAUACAAUAUUGUUUGUGUACAUAAUUGUGAAUUUUUGUUAACAAUUGUUAUUUGUGGGGUGGUGGUUGUUUGCUAGGCAACGAUGAUGAGUCCAUGCAUGCGACAGGUCCGGUCUACCUGUGGAACUUUGUUACAAGUGUUUUUAAUAUACGGUUCAUGAGUUAUAAAUUUUUUAAACAAAAUAUGCAAAUAUUCACUUUUAAUUAAAGCAGGGAAAGGGUUAAUCUUUAUAAUUAUACGUACCGUAUUACUAGAAUAUUUUUCUGGUGAAAAACCUUUUCGAAUGAGCCAAAUCAGCAGAAAAUGUGACCCUUUGCGAUCUAACUAUUGCGUUCUGGCAAGGAUCGUGUGUAUUUACUAGUAAUAAUUUAGGUUUUGCAGAUAUUAUUGUUGCGAAUUGAUCAACCCUCGCAAAAUUCGCAAAUGUUUGAUGCUCGCAAAACAUUCUAGUAAUACGGUAGUAUGGUUUAAUUCCACGCUUUAAAUCGGCAUACAUGUAUUUACAUUACUUAGCUUGUGUCCACUCAUGCAGGUCCGUCUGUACUGGAUAUAUUCCGUACACUGGUCCGCCACCUCCGUAUCUCCAUAGAAACUGUUUCAGAAAGCCCCUCCGACCUCACGUCCUCUCUGACCUUUCAGCAAUCCAUCACUAUCACUGUGGGGGAGUUUGCAGGAGUCCUUCCCGACUAUCAUAAGCCAGAUAUACUGGGGCUCAUCAACUCUUAUGUACCCGUGGCCUCAGGGGGUCUUGAUAGCGGAGCCACCACUGGACUGUCUGUACAUCCUCUGGCACCUCAGGACACUCAAAACAGCCCCACGUUGACUACCUCCCUGGUCAAGUGUUUGAGGGCAGUGGCUGACACCUGUCACGCAUCAGUGCUGGAGACCGCGUUCCCAGGGCAACUGUUUGCCUCCCUCGUCCAAUUGCUCCUCAUACGAGAACCCAGCACACAGUUGGAUGUGGCCCUACUCUGGCAUCGUCUCGUAGAUCACCAUGCCAACAAGGACAAGAUUCCUCUCAACACGUGCGUAUGUGUGCGUGCGUGCGUACCUUGCUAUGUUCAGUGUGCAUUUGAGGCAUACUAGACUUUGUUUGUCAGUUAUACAGGUCCAUAUGAGCUUUUGUCUUAGCUUUCACUACAUGUAUUUAUACAAUCAUGUGCAGUGCAUACAGCUACAUGUAUGUGUAUUUAUACCCUCCUCUUGUGCAGUGAUUGGGUGAGUCUGGAGGCUGUAGGGCUCUCACUGGGUUUGGUUUUGAAAAGAUUCCUCUCUAAAACAGUCAACUCUCUCUUCACCAAUCUCCUGGAACUGGCCAAAGCUCUCUGCACUAGCCCUGCUAACACACUCGCUUUCUACCAACUCGUAUUUCUCCUGACACUGGAAUUCUCUUAUCAAGGGGCUCUCAGAUAUACUGGUCUUCCUACACCAGCUGCAAGAGUUUGCUGUGAAGGAGAAAGGCCUUGAGGCACAUCACAGAGUGGUGCUACAUGCUACAGUGGCGGGUGUGCUGCAUCUAGCGUCCAAGAUUAGUCGAAACGAGGUACUCAAGACGACACACAUCGAUGGAGUGAUUGCUAAGAGAAGGGAGACAGCUCCAAAGGCUAUAGUGGGACAUUCUUCUAGAGGGUCUGCUGUGCAAGAGAGACUUGUGAUGGAGGAAGAGCUCAAGAAGGCACUAGAUCGCUGUAAGGAGUUGGAGCAGAGCAGUGGACGGGGUGGACAUAUUCGAGUGCUACAAAGUAACGUGAGAAGGAAGAGUACUUGAAACAGUCUGCUGUGCAAGAGAGACUUGUGACGGAGGAAGAGCUCAAGAAGGCACUGGAUCGCUGUGAGGAGUUGGAGCAGAGCAGUGUGCCGAUGGGGUAUACUCGAGUGCUACAAACAACAGGUGAUAAAAGUGGUACAGUAUACCUGUACAGAUUAUGGCAUACAAUAUGCACUGCAUCUAUGUACAUUACUCGACUAGACUGUUUUUCAAUUUAACCAUAAUCAUUAAUUUUUGGUAAAAAAAUGCCAAAUCAGCAGAAAAUUUGACCCUUUCGUAACUUUCCAUGAAUUGUCCGGUUAUCUGUUGGUUUAGAGUUGAUCAUGUUUUUCUGUAUACCUUCGCGCUGUUUGAGGCUGAGAAUGUGGCCCUGUCAGUAAUGAACCCGUGCAUUCAGGAAGCCUUCAAGAAAUCAAGUAAGAAAUGUGAUUACCAGAACUGAAUUUGUGGUCAAAUAGUUGAAAGUGUGUAUGUACGAAUGAUGGUCAUGUGAUGAUGGUCAUGUGUGUUUCUACCUUCUACUAAAGUAUCGUAUGAUCUAAAUUGCAAAUUAGCUAUUUUCGUUGCCAUGCAGAGGGUAUGAAUAUACAUACACUCAUUGUACCCCCCACAGAGAGUUCUUGCGAGCAUCGACAGUGGACCCCCUGGACAGAAGGCUGGGUAUCAACAAGUACUCUGACGUGAC